rnacentral:rRNA from 1 species
UACAGAGGAUGCAAGCGUUAUCCGGAAUGAUUGGGCGUAAAGCGCACGUAGGCGGCUUUGCAAGUUAGAGGUGAAAGCCCGGGGCUCAACUCCGGAAUUGCCUUUAAAACUGCAUCGCUAGAAUUGUGGAGAGGUAAGUGGAAUUCCGAGUGUAGAGGUGAAAUUCGUAGAUAUUCGGAAGAACACCAGUGGCGAAGGCGACUUACUGGACACAUAUUGACGCUGAGGUGCGAAAGCGUGGGGAGCAAACAGG